GGCAACAAGGGGCGGAGAAUAAAUUGCCAGUCAGGUUGGUAGGAUAAGGAAUACAAUAUAAAGAGGGGGGAUCCAAUCCAGUUUCAGCUAGUUUCUGGACGUAGGCCUACUGAUUAAAUAUUUACGUUAGUUACAGUGUGUUCUGAAGGAAUUGAGUGACUUACAUCGGACACAUUCAGAAGCCUGCAUUGAAUUUUCAGUAACUGAGAAGGCUAAUUUGUCCUCUAAUUCUCUAGACAAUACAAGCAAAGCAGCCAUGCCGAAAAGAAGCAAAGCAAAUAAUGACACUGAAGUUGAGCCAAAGAGGAGAUCCACGAGGUUAUCAUCUAAACCCACUACUCCAGCUAAAGCAGAGCCUAAGGCAAAGACACCAGUCAAGGCAGCAGCCAAACCCAAAAAGGUAAAGGCGGUAGUCGAGAAGUCCAAGCCUGAGGAGAAGAAAGAGGAUCCUGAGGAAGAAGCAACACCGGCAGAAAACGGAGAGGCCAAAGCUGAGGAGGUAAGACUUGUUACCUUAGUUUCAAUUAUACGAUAUGCCAUGCCAGUGAUAUACAACAUUCAAAAUCAGGAGUAUUGGGUAUUACAAACAGACCAACAAUAAUUGGCAUUGCAGCUGUUUGUACCCCACACACAAAUAGUGUAAACAACUAGACCUAAAAGAACUGUUCUGUAAUAUGGGAACGUAACUUUUUCAUCCGCCAGGAGGCAGCAGAAGAGGAAGAUGCUGAUGCAGACGAGCCUGAGAAAGAGGAGGAUGAGGCAGAAUAACAUCCUUACCCUUUUGCCAGUGCUCCCUGUACCUCCUUUCUUGUACAAUUCAGAAGAAUAUUUUUAUCAACUAUUUUCUUAAGAAAAAGCAGGUUGUGUAGUAGUAAGAUUGUAGAAACAAUUUUAUUUUUUUUUUACCUCUGGAAGAAAGGUUAUGGUCAUUGUGUGUUUCCCUUUUCUUUUGUGGUCUGGUUCAGUUGUCAGUGGGAGGGGGGCAGGUUUGUAGCAAUGACAUGCAAUCACGCCAAUAUCAGGAACUUGUUAUUCAACUGGGAGCGCUUGUCUGACACUAACAUUCCAUAGGCUUUAUGAGGGACAGUUUAUUUAACCUGUUGUAUGGAGAAGGGUUGGGGGUUUAUACACAAUAAUACUUGUUUUAUUGUUUAUAUUGGGUAGGACGGUGGUAAUUCUGUUUUAAACUGUGCCCUAUGAAUUUUUAAACUAUUGUCCACAUUGUAUUAUGUAUCCACAGUUAUGGUUAAUUCUCCCUAGUUCAUGUACUGGAUUUUUCAUCAGGCCUGUGAAAUGGUUUUUGUCUCUGUUCGGUGAAGGCAUUGCAAUAACAUUUGAUAUAGCUGCUGUGAAACUGUUAUUUUUUUUCAUAAUUUCUAUGCAGUAUGUAAUGUAAUGGUACGAUUUGAGGAUGGUUCGUGUUUUUAGCCAAGCUAAUAACAUGAAAUACAUUACAGUGUUAAACAUACUGGUUGUAGCUUAUCCUUUUGAGGAUACUGAUAAACAUUGACUGUACUUUCACUUAAUCCUUCAAGUGAACAUAGCAGCUGUAGAUUUCCAUGUGGUUUUAGAAUUUUAUGUACAGUUUCUCUUUUUUGUUGUAGCUGUAUCUGUGUUAUUAUUGGUAUAAACAUGCCAAUUGAAUUAAAAUGAUUGUAAUUUCUUUGUUUUCUCUGUUCUCUUAUUGAUCACAAGUUGAAUGUAAACAUGCUAUUAUAAUUAAGACACUCACUGUGAAUUGAUUAAAUACUCUGUAAUUUCGCU
ensembl:lncRNA